GUCGAGUAGGACAUGUUAAUUAUACACACCAUGUUAAUCUAUAUCCUGGUGUUAUUAUAUUUCCUAAUACAAAGUUUGGUUUUAAUCAAAGAGUUUUCAGAACCACAACACUAUUUUGGCUGCCAUUUACAAACAGACUGCCAGAAAUAAACGGCACUAUUCGGUAUGAAGGGUAUUCAUAUGAUCUCCUGAAAGUUCUUCAAGCUUCUUUAAACUUUAGUGUUACGUUAAUGGAACCCGAGGAUGGUGAAUGGGGAAGAAUAAUAAAUAAAACAUGGACGGGGGCAGUUGCUCAGCUACAAAAAGGGGAAGCUGAUCUGUUUUGUGGACCAUUGGCCAUUUCAUCAGAUCGGGAAGAAGUUAUGGAUUUCAGCUACCCUUAUUUCCAGGCCUAUUCCGUAGUUGUUUUCCGGAAACCCGACCCGAACAAAUAUAAAUGGAGAAAAUUAAUCGAACCGUUCAGAUGGGAAGUACACGCUUGUGUUUUUGCUUCUCUGACUUUCGUCACCGUAUUUCAUUUCAUCAUAGAAAGUUUGAACCCUUUCUACACGCAACUCCACGAAGAACGACCUACCUUUCAAAACAUUAUACUAUACAUGUUUGGUGCGCUCUUA